rnacentral:lncRNA from 1 species
CAUAAGGCAGCAGAAUUCACUAGACUUAGGGAGCGGAGGGCAUAAUGAGAGGAUAAGAUCUUGUAAAACUUCUGAUUAAACAAAUGGAAACAGGGAGAAAAGAGAUAACCCUACACUGAAGAACAAGUUUCCCAUGAAGGCAUCAGCCCAAAUCCCGAGGAUGAUCCUUAAUCGAGCACCAGGGGCAGAGCAGGGAGGCCAGGCCCACCUGCCUGCACUUUGCCAUCACCAGGGCCCACAUCUGCAGGUGGUUGGCGAGGGGCUGGGGGAUAAAUGAGGAGCUGGGGACAAGGUUUCCCCUCCAGCAGUGUGAGGAGCAGUCUGCACCAGGCUUGUGGGGUAUUGCCUGCUUUGUGCCUGCCUCGGGAAGCACGCGGAGCUGCUGCUUUGGCCGUGAGGCCCUGCUGUGAAGCCUGCAUGUGUGGCUCGGCUGGUGAAGGGGCUAGAAGCUGCUUUUCAUGUUGAGAUCUACAAAACGCCAUGUAACUACUCCUGGAACUUCAAGAAGGCAAGAAAAAAAAAAGGAAAUGGAGAAGGAAAGUCUGAGUUGCGAUACAGCAUGUGCUGCCAAGGGAUUGGGGAAAAUCCACGAGAAAAAAAACACAUACAUUUUUUUAUUAUGAAUUAAUGGCUUUUCAGGGAAGUGGCUGACAUCCAGUGAACAUGCUGAUUUUAGGGUUAACCCUUCCAGCAUCCAUGUGCCAUUCCGUGGCCUUCCAGCUCUGUCUUAUAAGCAAGCUCACAUAAAUUUCUGGCAACAGUAUCCUUUCAAAGCCCACAGGCUAGAGGGAUCUUUAGUCACUUUGGAUUGGACUGGAUUUGAAAAUAGGUCCCUGAGGUGAAGGGCCAAUAUAUCAAACCAGUAAAUCACGCUUUACACCAACUCCUAAUAAUGAAUGAAGUGCCAUUUCAUACAAUACCUAAGUUAGGAUUUUAUUGAUUAACUCUCAUCUUGGUGUUCCACCCAAAUCUAAGAUAUAUUGCCUGCUGUAAUUUUUACAUUAGCUGUCAAAUUCAUCUUGUCUUCCCGGGGUUAUGAUGUGUACAGAGCAGACAAUAAACAACAUCAGUUUCAGUGUUUAUCUAAUGAA